CUGUCGCUUUUGGAGCGGCCGAUGUCUGAUUAGCUAGUUGGUGAGGUAAAGGCUUACCAAGGCGUCGAUCAGUAGCUGGUCUGAGAGGACGACCAGCCACACUGGGACUGAGACACGGCCCAGACUCCUACGGGAGGCAGCAGUGGGGAAUUUUGGACAAUGGGGGAAACCCUGAUCCAGCCAUGCCGCGUGAGUGAAGAAGGCCUUCGGGUUGUAAAGCUCUUUCAGCCGGAACGAAACGGUCACGGCUAAUACCCGUGAUUACUGACGGUACCGGAAGAAGAAGCACCGGCUAACUACGUGCCAGCAGCCGCGGUAAUACGUAGGGUGCGAGCGUUAAUCGGAAUUACUGGGCGUAAAGCGUGCGCAGGCGGUUUUGUAAGUCAGAUGUGAAAUCCCCGGGCUUACCUGGGAACUGCGUUUGAAACUACAAGCUAG
rnacentral:rRNA from 1 species